GACUCUCCGCCCUCUGCAUAAAAUCCUACUCGAAACGUUCAGACCACAGGUGGACCCAAGAGGGGCUGCCUCUGCCCUCCUAGACCCCACUGGUCUUGUCAUACCGCUCACCUAGCUUGAUCCGCCCCACAGUCUUCGGAAUCGGCGCCAUCACAUCUACAGUGACCCGGAAAUGAAAGAGAAAAGCCUUGAGCCACGUCCCAGGGGCUGCACGUCCUUUCCCCACGUCCCGUGUGCUCCGCCUCUUGACGGGGGAGCGGGGUUGCCAGGUGGCAAGUCGGCUGGACGAGGCGCUGCAAGGAUCGGCAUUGAGGGACCAGCUCCGCAGGCGGUGCCAAGAGGAGCGGGAUCUGCUACCAGGGCUGCUGGGCCUGGUGGGGGGCGUGGCGGGUUCAGCCAGCUGUGGACUAGGGCUUGAAGAGGCUGGAUCCUUGUGGAGCCAAUACUGGACCCUCCUGUGGGCAGCCUGUGCUCAGAGUCUGGACCUAAAUCUGGGACCCUGGAGGGACCCCAGGGCAACAGCGCAACAGCUGAGUCAGGCACUGGGUCAGGCAUCCCUGCCUCAGGAGUGUGAGAAGGAGCUGGCAUCUUUGUGUCACAGACUACUUCAUCAGUCGCUUAUCUGGAGCUGGGACCAAGGUGAGAAGGAAGGGGCACUGGGGGUGACAUAAGUCCCAGGUUACCGCUUCCCCACCACACUAUACUCUCUCAUCCUCAGGUUUCUGCCAGGCCUUGGGAUCAGCUCUUGGGGGUCAGAGCAUCCUUCCCACAUCCUCUGGCACUGCUGAACUUUUGCAGCAGCUCUUUCCUCCUCUCUUGGAUGCCCUUCGAGAGCCCAGGUUACGACUGAUUUUCUGCCAGCCUGCAGAUCCUGCGCCUGUCGCCCUAGGUCUCUGUACCCUGCAGACCACCUUGCUCUGGUUCCUGGGCAGAGCUCAGCAGUACUUGGCAGCAUGGGACCCAGCUUCCUUCCUGCUCCUGAUCCAAAAGGACUUACCUGUGAGUGGCUGGGGAGUAGGGAGGGGAGCAGCCUGAGCUAGGCUGAGCCCUCACUCCCUGUUUCCACCCAAAGCCUCUGUUGCAUGAGGCAGAAGCUUUGUCUAGCCUGGCCUCAGAGGAAAGCUUAUCUCUGGAAGUGGAGCAGCAACUGGGCCUGGAGAUCCAGAAGCUGACUGCACAGAUCCAG
rnacentral:sRNA from 1 species